UACGUAGGGGGCAAGCGUUGUCCGGAAUCAUUGGGCGUAAAGAGCGCGUAGGCGGCCCAGUAAGUCCGCUCUGAAAGUCAGGGGCUCAACCCCUGAAUGCGGGUGGAUACUGCUGGGCUAGAGUCCGGAAGAGGCGAGUGGAAUUCCUGGUGUAGCGGUGAAAUGCGCAGAUAUCGAGAGGAACACCUGCGGCGAAGGCGGGUUGCUGGGCUGAUACUGACGCUGAGGCGCGAAAGCUAGGGGAGCGAACGGG
rnacentral:rRNA from 1 species